rnacentral:tRNA from 3 species
CGGACAGAAGCCCGCUGGAUUGGGUGUUUAGCUGUUAAUUAAAUUUUUGUGGGAUCAAGGCCCGCCUGUCUAG